GGUACCGGAGGGUGAAAGAAGGCCUCCUAACCAUAGAACAUGCGGGUUCCGGACAGAGCGGCGUGGCACCCUCCUAACCAUAGAGAGUGCGGGCUCCGGACAGAGCGGCUAUGAGCCGGCGGUGGAGGUGUCCUGGCUACAGAAAGGGACCCCGAGCAGUGGUGGGAGUUCUCUUAACCACAGGGUGUGCUGACGCCUGUCUAGGGGAAAGCGGGUCUCUCCUCUCCGCCCAGGAUUCUUUGAUCAAAUUCAGACCUGAUAUGACUGGGCACAACUUAGCUGAAUUUAAUAAUCUGUGAAUCAUAUAUCAAAGGGAGAGGUGGCAUGGAGAAGACCAUUAUAGUAUCAAAGGACCUCAGCAUUUCUUUGGCCUGCACUCUCUAUUCUGGGUUCUCAUUGUUUCAGAUCAUAAACAGUCCUGGCUCCCAUUCCCAGCUCUGCAAAUUCACCUCACUGCUGACCUCCUUCAUAUUCCAGUCCUCUUCUCCCUGAGCUGUCACAGCUCCCUGCAAUGCUCGCAUGUGAUAGCUGAGCCCUAGCAGCCACCCUUCCAUAGCCCAACAGCAUUCGACCUGCUUCUUCCAAAGACCAACUUUGUCAUCAAAGAGAACUGCACAGAGAGACUGACACAGAGUCACAGAUCCCUGCUUAGUAGGAGAUGGUGCUACUGGAAGCUCCUUGGGCCAGGGACCGUCUUUUUGUUGUGUGUUUGUACAGCACAACAGGGUCCCAGUCUAUGAUUGGGGCUCCAACAUGCUAGGGUGAUGCACAUAAACAAUAAUAUUACAUAAGUAAUGAAUGCACAUUGAAAAUGCAGCUGUGGGUAUGACAAGUUUAUUACAUAGUACCAGUGUGUAGAUGUUAUGGUUGAUCAGAAGAUGGGCUAUCUAGCACUUAUUUUAUUCAUUUACAAUAAUAAUAAUAAUGAAAAUCCAGACCUAUCAUUUUCCAUUUCACCUGCCCUUCCCUUCCCACCCCUUGUUUGUCAUUUGCCUUCUUAGACUGUAACAUUUUCAGGGCAGGGAUCAUGUCUUCCCACAUCUUUGUACAGCUCCUGGCACAGAUCCUGGUGGGGUUGCUACCAAAUAGCACAAAUAUUAAAAACAAUAAUAUAAGUACUAUUGAAUAGUUAAUACCAGGGAACAGUGACUAGCUAGGACUUCUGCAGGGAUCUGGCAUUCUAGGUAGAGAAUUUGAGAAUUCUGGUCCUCUUCAAGGCACUGAAUUCAUAUCUGUGGUGUUCAGUGAGCACUCAGUGCUUACAGUGCUUGCAAGAGCUCUGCUUUAUGUUUUGCCUUGUUCCAACUGGCUGUGCACAACAACAAGAGCAUCACAGCGCCCUGACCAGAGUCUCAGCUCUUAAAGGCCUGGACCCCAAUAGCACAUGUCUAUGUGUGCGUCUCUACAAGCGCGUAUGUGUCUCUCUCUGCUUGGUUUUAAAUAACUCUUUUGUUCCUGUAGCAGAUGAUUCAUCAGCCUCAGGACAUCCUGGGAUGCCUGGCUAGAAGGAGCCACAUGUGGGGCAUGUAUCUCAAGAGUCUCGUGUUGAUUAUCACAGAGAGAUGUAUGGUGGCCUCUAGGGGUGCAUCUACACGGCAAUCAAAGGCCUGCAGCUGGCCCAGCUCAGCUGACUUGGGCUCAUGGGGCUAUAAAAUCACAGUGUAGAUGUUUGGUUUUGGGGUGGAACCUGGGUUCCGAGAUCCUACGAUGAGGGAGGGCUGCAGCCCGAGCCCAGACGUUUACAGAGCUAUUUUUAGCUCUGCAGCCCAAGCCCCGUGGGCCCAAGUCACCUGAGUUGGGCCAGUUUUAUCGCAGUGUAGAUGUACCUAGGGCUGAUUAAAGCACAAGAGCCUGCAGUGGAUUCCCCAGCAAAGCUCAGGACCUGGGAACUUACUGUCUCCCCCCUCCCCCAUAAAUUACUCUAAUUUAGAGGCAACUAUAUGGGUCACAAGUUGUUUAAAAAAAAGCAGCAGCCCUCAUAAUGCUUCUGUUUCCUUCCCUGGGCUGAGGAGCAAUGAUGGGAUGUUACAUCCGGCUUCUAGGACACAGAAUUAGCCUCCUGCCUGGGAAAGACACUGACAGCUCUGCCUGCAGAUCCAUCACUCCUGAGUUCUGAGGUCAGCAGCACAUCACUGUGUUGCUAGGAAAGCCGUUCCAUAUCCUACAGAUGCAUCCUCUCCUCAGCUUGCGCCCUCUCCAACAACUUGCCAUGUGAAAGACAAUUACCUUUUUAUUUUACCUUUCCUAUUCAUUUGCACCCUUGAUGGUCAUGUGACCAAUUCUGCUGGCACAUGGAGGCUUCAGUUGUAUUCUCCAGUGUAAGGAACAUCAUGAUGCUCCACUCCAGGCAGUCUGGUUAGGAAAGGGACAGAGGGAGCUCUUCUGUCUGUGCCAUCAGUCCAUGCUUGGUCAAAGUAUACUUCCAGGGUGGAAGCACUGGGUAGUGGUCACAGCAAGACUCCUAGGUUCUAUUCCUGGCUGUACCCUGGACUAAACUUCCUCUCUCUUGGGCCCCUGUCUCCUCCACUAAAAAUGGGGAUUUUAGAGCUAGUCAGAAAACGGGAUUGCCAUUCAACAUAAAAUGGAAUGAAAACCCAAAAUUUCAAAAUUUUCCACAGAACAAAAAUUCUGGAAAGUUUCAGUUCAGGACGAUCAAAACGUUUCUGUUUAAUAAUGUCAAAUAAUUUUGUUUCAAUAAGGUAAAACCAUUUUGCUUUGAUAACCUCAAAACAUAAUAUAAAAUAAAACAUUAAAUGCCAUAUAUAUUGUAUAAAUAUAAUAUGUUCUUUUCAUAUUAAUAUAAUGUAAAAAUCUAACUGGAUUAAUCAAAACGAUAAAGACAAAAUGAAACGUUUGCUAUUGAAA